rnacentral:rRNA from 1 species
GUCUGUAGCCAUACCACCCUGAAUGCACCAUCUCAUCUGAUCUUGGAAGCUGACUAGGGUCAAGACUGGUUAGUACUAGGACGGGAAGCAUACAACAACUGCUAGAGGGU